rnacentral:rRNA from 1 species
UACGGGAGGCAGCAGUGGGGAAUAUUGCACAAUGGGCGCAAGCCUGAUGCAGCCAUGCCGCGUGUAUGAAGAAGGCCUUCGGGUUGUAAAGUACUUUUCAGUCGUGAGGAAGGUGUUAAGGUUAAUAACCUUAGCAAUUGACGUUAGCGACAGAAGAAGCACCGGCUAACUCCGUGCCAGCAGCCGCGGUAAUACGGAGGGUGCGAGCGUUAAUCGGAAUUACUGGGCGUAAAGGGCACGCAGGCGGUUAAUUAAGUUGGAUGUGAAAUCCCCGGGCUUAACCUGGGAAUGGCAUUCAAGACUGGUUAGCUAGAGUCUUGUAGAGGGGGUAGAAUUCCAUGUGUAGCGGUGAAAUGCGUAGAGAUGUGGAGGAAUACCGGUGGCGAAGGCGGCCCCUGGGACAAAGGACUGACGCUCAUGUGCGAAAGCGUGGGGAGCAAAC